UAGACAACACUUUUGAAGAAAAGGGAAAAUGGCAUAUGAUACUAAAAUAAUGCAAUGCAAGGAGUUUCAGUGUACCUUGACAAAUCCUUCCACAUUUAUGCUUUUAACCUAACAAACUCAUUCAGACCUAAAAUAAAUUGAUUUAAAAUGCCCCUUCUUUAACAAUAUAAGCUUUUAGAUGAGACGGUCAAGCAAUUCACAUAAACUUCCCAAAACCUCUAAACUAGCUCAUGAAUUCCGAGGACAUUAAUAUUAGUUGAUUCCAUUUCAGAUCAUUUAACACACACACACACACACAGAGAAAUACAUAGAGCAAGCUCCAGUUCACUGUACCAUCAUUUUUUUUUCUUUUCCUUUUACAGUGACGUGUAAUUACUAUUUACUUCUAGAUAGCUUUUCAACAAUUAAGUGAUCAAAUACAUGUUAGAUCAUUUAAAACACAGAUACGGAGAGAAAUACAUAGAGCAAGCUCCAGUUCACUGUACCAUCAUUUCUUUUCUUUCCCUUUGACACUGACAUCUAAUUACUAGUAGUAUUUACUUGUAGAUAGCUUUUCAAUUAUUAAGUGAUCAAAUGCAAAAUACACAGAUUUUUGGCUAUGACGUGCCAGAUAUCACUAAUGCCAAUGGAUCUUACUGACAAUAAGCAAAUUAAAGAUUAAAGCAAAGAAAAAACAGCACAUAACACCAUCUCAAUCAAUCACAACAAAUUAUGAUCACCUCAAUCCAUUUUCACAAGUUUAUCACCAACAAAUAACCUAUAUUUUUAUUUUUAGAUUUGGGCGGCAGUUCUAAUAACGAAUGCACGCAAAGCAGAACAAAUAUAUAUACACAUACAUAGAGCAAAGCCGCUAUCUAAAUCAAUCACAGAGAUUUUGAUCAACGCGAUCCAUUUCAAACAGAUUUAACACCUCAUUACACACUUCAAAUGCACAAAAAACAACACACAUACACACACGCACAAAAUCACUCAAAAUCACGGCUACGGAAUGAAGCGGAGAAGCAGUCGCUUCAUCUCUUACAAGUACGGCAUUAGCGAAAACAAUGAGAAAUCAGAAAAUGCGCGUUAAACUUACAGUGAAUUUCGCCGAUCCGAAAGCGAUAGCUCGUGCUUGUGAGGAAGAAAGUUGAAAGAAUAGAAUGCCGGUGAAACAAAAGAAAACCGUAUUCGAGAAGCCACAAAUAAUAUAUGGAUGGUAAAAUGUUUGGUGAUUGGGGGAAAGUGGAGAAGGACGGAUGUCACGAGGGCUGUGUGUGUGUGUGUGUGAGAGAGAGAGAGAGAGAGGAAAUGGACAAUGGAAAUGGAAUCAAAACUCUGCAAAUGCACCCCUUUCUGACUUCUCUCAGUCCUCAGUCCCCUUCUUUGGAGUUUUUUGCAGCACUAUGCCGC
rnacentral:lncRNA from 1 species